rnacentral:tRNA from 1 species
GGUCUGUUAGCUCAGGUAAAUACCCCGCUCAUCACGAUUUCAUGUACUAAGCUAACGUUACAAAAGUUGGUUAGAGCGUAAGGUCUCCUUCUUCAUCUCAAUGACCAAACAUACUUAUAGAAAUCUAGGCCGUGCUAAUAACGCGGAGGUCAUGGGUUCGACCCCCAUACGGACCA